GCACUGGUAACUGUAGAGUCCCUGAUGAUCAGAAUGGUCUCCGAAGCCGAGGGUCGCAGGUUCGAAUCCUGCCGGGCGCGCCA
rnacentral:tRNA from 1 species